GAUGAACGCUAGCGGCAGGCCUAAUACAUGCAAGCCGAACGGCAAGUUUGAUGGCAAUAUUGGACCUAGAGUGGCGCAAGGGUGCGUAACACGUAUGCAACCUGCCCGCGACAGGAGGAUAGCUCCCCGAAAGGGGAAUUAACCCUCCAUAACACCAUGAGAAGGCAUCUGAUUAUGGUUAAACCGCAAGGGGUCGCGGAUGGGCAUGCGGUUGAUUAGCUAGUUGGCGGGGUAAAGGCCCACCAAGGCGGUGAUCAAUAGGGGUUCUGAGAGGAAGGUCCCCCACACUGGCACUGGGAUACGGGCCAGACUCCUACGGGAGGCAGCAGUAGGGAAUAUUGGACAAUGGUUGCAAGACUGAUCCAGCCAUGCCGCGUGCAGGAAGAAGGCCUUCUGGGUCGUAAACUGCUUUUUCCUGUGGAUAAAAUACCCGUGCGCGGGGAAUUGAAGGUAACAGGGGGAUAAGCCACGGCUAACUACGUG
rnacentral:rRNA from 1 species